rnacentral:rRNA from 1 species
GACGAACGCUGGCGGCGUGCUUAACACAUGCAAGUCGAACGGAAAGGCCUCUUUCGGGGGGUACUCGAGUGGCGAACGGGUGAGUAACACGUGAGUAACCUGCCCUUGACUUUGGGAUAACUUCAGGAAACUGGGGCUAAUACCGGAUAGGAGCUCCUGCUGCAUGGUGGGGGUUGGAAAGUUUCGGCGGUUGGGGAUGGACUCGCGGCUUAUCAGCUUGUUGGUGGGGUAGUGGCUUACCAAGGCUUUGACGGGUAGCCGGCCUGAGAGGGUGACCGGCCACAUUGGGACGGGGAUAGGGCCAGGACUCCUAGGGAGGGAGGAAGUGGGGAAUAUGGCACAAUGGUGGGAGGCCGAAGGAAGAACGCCGUGUGCGGGAUGACGGCCUUCGGGUUGUAAACCGCUUUCGCUCAUGACGAAGCUUUGUGUGACGGUAGUGGGUAAAGAAGCACCGGCUAACUACGUG